rnacentral:rRNA from 1 species
CCUACGGGUGGCAGCAGUGAGGAAUAUUGGUCAAUGGGCGCGAGCCUGAACCAGCCAAGUCGCGUGAGGGAUGAAGGUUCUAUGGAUCGUAAACCUCUUUUAUACGGGAAUAAAGUGUGGGACGUGUCCUAUUUUGUAUGUACCUUAUGAAUAAGGAUCGGCUAACUCCGUGCCAGCAGCCGCGGUAAUACGGAGGAUCCGAGCGUUAUCCGGAUUUAUUGGGUUUAAAGGGUGCGUAGGCGGGCUUUUAAGUCAGCGGUGAAAGUCUGUGGCUCAACCAUAGAAUUGCCGUUGAAACUGGGGGGCUUGAGUAUAUUUGAGGCAGGCGGAAUGCGUGGUGUAGCGGUGAAAUGCUUAGAUAUCACGCAGAACACCGAUUGCGAAGGCAUCUCACGAAUCCGCGAUUGACGCUGAUGCACGAAAGCGUGGGGAUCAAACAGGAUUAGAUACCCCAGUAGUC